rnacentral:rRNA from 1 species
AUUGAACGCUGGCGGCAGGCCUAACACAUGCAAGUCGAGCGGAUGAAGGGAGCUUGCUCCUGGAUUCAGCGGCGGACGGGUGAGUAAUGCCUAGGAAUCUGCCUGGUAGUGGGGGAUAACGUCCGGAAACGGGCGCUAAUACCGCAUACGUCCUGAGGGAGAAAGUGGGGGAUCUUCGGACCUCACGCUAUCAGAUGAGCCUAGGUCGGAUUAGCUAGUUGGUGGGGUAAAGGCCUACCAAGGCGACGAUCCGUAACUGGUCUGAGAGGAUGAUCAGUCACACUGGAACUGAGACACGGUCCAAACUCCUACGGGAGGCAGCAGUGGGGAAUAUUGGACCAUGGGCGAAAGCCUGAUCCAGCCAUGCCGCGUGUGUGAAGAAGGUCUUCGGAUUGUAAAGCACUUUAAGUUGGGAGGAAGGGCAGUAAGUUAAUACCUUGCUGUUUUGACGUUACCAACAGAAUAAGCACCGGCUAACUUCGUG